UACAGAGGCCCCAAGCGUUACUGAGAAUCACUGGGUUUAAAGGGUGCGUAGGUGGCGCGUUAAGUCCGUUGUGAAAUCCCUUGGCUCAACCAAGGAACUGCUUCGGAUACUGGCGUGCUUGAGGCUAGUAGAGGUCACUGGAACUGACGGUGGAGCGGUGAAAUGCGUAGAUAUCGUCAGGAACGCCAAUGGUGAAGACAGGUGACUGGGCUAGUUCUGACACUGAGGCACGAAAGCGUGGGGAGCGAACGGGG
rnacentral:rRNA from 1 species